AACGAACGCUGGCGGCAGGCUUAACACAUGCAAGUCGAACGCCCCGCAAGGGGUGUGGCAGACGGGUGAGUAACGCGUGGGAACAUACCCUUUUCUACGGAAUAGCUCUGGGAAACUGGAAUUAAUACCGUAUACGCCCUACGGGGGAAAGAUUUAUCGGGGAAGGAUUGGCCAGCGUUGGAUUAGCUAGUUGGUGGGGUAAAGGCCUACCAAGGCGACGAUCCAUAGCUGGUCUGAGAGGAUGAUCAGCCACAUUGGGACUGAGACACGGCCCAAACUCCUACGGGAGGCAGCAGUGGGGAAUAUUGGACAAUGGGCGCAAGCCUGAUCCAGCCAUGCCGCGUGAGUGAUGAAGGCCUUAGGGUUGUAAAGCUCUUUCACCGAUGAAGAUAAUGACGGUAGUCGGAGAAGAAGCCCCGGCUAACUUCGUGCCAGCAGCCGCCGUAAUAC
rnacentral:rRNA from 1 species